GGUAGACAAGAUUAUACUAUACAACAGGUAGAUUAAAGAUAUAGGUAGACUAGAUUAUACUAUACAACAGGUAGAUUAAAGAUAUAGGUAGACAAGAUUAUACUAUACAACAGGUAGAUUUAAGAUAUAGGUAGACUAGAUUAUACUAUACAACAGGUAGAUCAAAGAUAUAAGUAGACAAGAUUACACUAUACAACAGGUAAAGAUAUAGGUAGACUAGUUUAUACUAUACAACAGGUAAAGAUAUAGGUAGACAAGAUUAUACUAUACAACAGGUAGAUCAAAGAUAUAAGUAGACAAGAUUACACUAUACAACAGGUAAAGAUAUAGGUAGACUAGAUUAUACUAUACAACAGGUAGAUCAAAGAUAUAAGUAGACAAGAUUACACUAUACAACAGGUAAAGAUAUAGGUAGACUAGUUUAUACUAUACAACAGGUAAAGAUAUAGGUAGACAAGAUUAUACUUUACAACAGGUAGAUCAAAGAUAAAGGUAGACAAGAUUAUACUAUACAACAGGUAGAUUAAAGAUAAAGGUAGACAAGAUUAUACUAUACAACAGGU